rnacentral:rRNA from 1 species
AUUGAACGCUGGCGGCAGGCCUAACACAUGCAAGUCGAGCGAGCGGCGGACGGGUGAGUAAUGUAUGGGGACUGCCCGAUAUAGGGGGAUAACUACUGGAAACGGUGGCUAAUACCGCAUAAUAUCGGAUAACCCCUAUGGGAUUAGCUAUUAGGUGGGGUAAAGGCUCACUUAGGCGACGAUAACUAGCGGGUCUGGGAGGGUGAUCGGCCACACUGUGGCUGGGACACGGCCCAGACUCCUACGGAGGCAGCAGUGGGGAAGAGUGCACAAUGGGCGCAAGCCUGAUGCAGCCAUGACGCGUGUAUGAAGAAGGCCUUAGGGUUGUAAAGUACGUUCAGCGGGGAGGCGUUACCCGGAGAAGAAGCACCGGCUAACUCCGUGCCAGCAGCCGCGGUAAUUC